rnacentral:rRNA from 1 species
CGACUCCUACGGGGAGCAGCAGUGGGGAAUAUUGCACAAUGGGGGAAACCCUGAUGCAGCCAUGCCGCGUGUGUGAAGAAGGCCUUCGGGUUGUAAAGCACUUUCAGUAGGGAGGAAGGUAGUGUAGUUAACACCUGCACUAUUUGACGUUACCUACAGAAGAAGCACCGGCUAACUCCGUGCCAGCAGCCGCGGUAAUACGGAGGGUGCGAGCGUUAAUCGGAAUUACUGGGCGUAAAGCGCAUGCAGGCGGCCUGUUAAGUCAGAUGUGAAAGCCCGGGGCUUAACCUCGGAAUUGCAUUUGAAACUGGCAGGCUAGAGUCUUGUAGAGGGGGGUAGGAAUUUCAGGUGUAGCGGUGAAAUGCGUAGAGAUCUGAAGGAAUACCAGUGGCGAAGGCGGCCCCCUGGACAAAGACUGACGCUCAGAUGCGAAAGCGUGGGGAGCAAACAGGAUUAGAUACCCUGGUAG